rnacentral:rRNA from 1 species
UACGUAGGGUGCGAGCGUUAAUCGGAAUUACUGGGCGUAAAGCGUGCGCAGGCGGUUUUUUAAGACAGGCGUGAAAUCCCCGGGCUCAACCUGGGAACUGCAUUUGUGACUGUAGAGCUGGAGUGCGGCAGAGGGGGAUGGAAUUCCGCGUGUAGCAGUGAAAUGCGUAGAUAUGCGGAGGAACACCGAUGGCGAAGGCAAUCCCCUGGGCCUGCACUGACGCUCAUGCACGAAAGCGUGGGGAGCAAACAGG